AAUGUUUUUAUUUCUUUUGUUGGGUUUGUUUGUUAAUCAUACUGAUAUUUCAUUUGUUCAUAUGUCAGUCGUUAUUUCAAGUAUUUCAAUAGGAGCUUCAUCUGAACAGGUCAUAUUUAUGCUAUUCUCACUCUAUUCCAACUAAAGAUAGAUGCAUUGUAGUUCUAUUCUAGUCUUUUUGUCUAGACUAGGAGGACCUCCUAAUUCUGUUUCCACACAAGUAAAGUAAGUCUCCAGUGCAGAUCAGGGCAUGUAGUCAUGUGGGAUGAGUGAAAGAGAAGCUUCAUCCAUGCAGCCAAGACCUAGCCAGCACGUGAGCAAGGGAGAUAGGGAGGCUUCUAAAUUUAGGCAUAGCCUUUACCUGGUUUUGGCAGUUCAGCUGUAGUCCUUACCCUUAAUUGUGAUCUGAAAAGAGCUGACUUUGCUUGCUAUAACUGAGCAAAGUGUUCUGCUUGCAAAUGACUAGAUACUUCUAUUACAUGUCAUUAACUUCUGUGAUCAAGGUAAUCUGUUUUUUUGUUGUUGUUGUUGUUUUUAUACAUAGGCAGACGUGGAAGUUUCACUUU